CCAGGAGUUAUUGGACUAAAUUUUUCACUUACCCCAAAAGUCUCAGCUUGGCCGAGUCGGACGCGAUUCCACAAGUUCGCGAGGAGCCACUUCUGGCGGAGGCGAGAGCUGACGUCGUUCGGGCCUAGAAUUGGAAAGAAAAGAAACUUUAAAACGUUGCGGACCAGAAUGCGGAAGUAGUUUCUUGGUAAGCUUUUCCUCUUAUUACUACGUCUUGCACGGGUGUACACUGACCUGCAGCCAGAAUGACGCAGACGGUUUUCCUCGGAAAGGCGACCGGAGUGGGAGGCAGCAGACCUGCCUUAAGUGUCUGUACAUUUUCCAGGCAAUGGGCGAAAUCUUGCAAGGUCUAGACGGAGCAUAAUGAGGCCAAAAUAUUCCGUAAUUUGCAAAAAUUGCGGAAGCAACGAAAAUAGUAAAGGAAACAUUAGCGGCCGAAUGGGGUGAAUUUUUGUGCGAUACGGAUUUCGGUGCCAG